AGUUUAAUAGUUUAAUUAUUUAAAAACAUUAAUUUUGUAAAUUAAUAAUAUAUAUAUAUUUAUUUUAUAUUUAAACUA
rnacentral:tRNA from 1 species